UCAUGCAGGGCUCUUAGCAUGGUGGAGAUUGGAAAGUGUGUAUGCCAUUCAUCCAACAUACACAACCCACCAGGAAGUUACUCAGGUCUGAUGAGUGCAAGCACCUGAAAAGGCACCUUUAAAAUGGGUUCAACUGGCCACAGUUCUGGACUGGGUCCUAAGCAUAAACUUCUCUGCCUUUCAAGUAAGUUUACAUCAUUCUGCCAAUUAGCCACUCUCACUGAUUAUACCAGGCCUAAACAUCUUUGCCCCAGACAUACAAUACCAUCUUAGUCAAGCUUCAACACCGUAGAGAGAUUCAUGUCUUGAGCAGAAGCCAGCCAAAUAUGAAAGAAGCCAUGCUGUAAGAAGUAUUCAUGAAGCCA